rnacentral:rRNA from 1 species
AACGUUGUACACUCGUGUGCCGGAUCUUAAAAUCUGCUGUGCCUAAGCUAACGCAUUAAGUGAACCGCCUGGGGAGUACGUCGCAAGACUAAAACUCAAAGGAAUUGACGGGGGCCCGCACAAGCGUGAGCAUGUGGUUUAAUUCGACGCAACGCGAAGAACCUUACCUGGGAUUGACAUCCUGUGAAUCUGUGAGAGAUCAGAUAGUGCCUUCGGGAACACAGUGACAGGUGCUGCAUGGCUGUCGUCAGCUCGUCUCGUGAGAUGCUUGGUUAAGCCCAGCAACGAGCGCAACCCUUAUCGUUAGUUCCCAGCACAUAAUGGUGGGAACUCUAGCGAGACUCCCCGGGUUAACCGGGAGGAAGGCGGGGAUGACGUCAAGUCGUCAUGGCCCUUAUACCCAGGGAUACACACGUGCUCACAAUGGUAAAUACAGAGCGCAGCGAGCCGGUGACGGUGAGCGAAUCCCUAAAGUUUAUCUCAGUCCGGAUUGGAGUCUGCAACUCGACUCCAUGAAGUUGGAAUCGCUAGUAAUCGCGGAUCAGCAUGCCGCGAUGAAUAUGUUCCCCGGCCUUCAACACACCGCCCGUCACACCAAGGGAGUUGAUCAUACCGAACGUCGCU